rnacentral:lncRNA from 1 species
UUAAGCACUGUUAAAGUCAGAAUGUUGCUCCCAUAAACUCAUAAUAUAAAAAAAGACAUAAAAUAAAAAAAAAAUCCCUGCCUACCUACCCUAACUUAUUUUCAGAUGUAACUGGAACCACACAUACUUUUUUUUUUGGCCUUAGUGUACAAUUAGAUACAAGUAUGUGAUAACUUGAGAUAAAAACUAGUAGAAUUCUAAGUGAACUACCAAACUACUUAUUCCAAAAAAAAAAAAAUACAAAACUGGGACAAAGCAAGGUGAACUCAAAAACAUUUCUACUCAUUACACUUGUGACACAAACAGCAUUUGAAUCAGUAUUCAGUAACUGAACAAAACAAACAAAAAUGCAGUUUAAGAAAUUUAGCGAAUAUUUUUCAAGUAUGAAGGUACAUGAUGUAGGAGGGAUGGACAGCUUUUGAGGAUGGA